AGCAGCCGCGGUAAUUCCAGCUCCAAUAGCGUAUAUUAAAGUUGUUGCAGUUAAAAAGCUCGUAGUUGAAUUUCGGGAUCAAUAUGUCGGUCGUGCUCUUUGGUACGUACUGGCGUCAUUGUUCCCUCCUUCUUGACGAACCAUGAUGUCAUUUAUUUGGUGUUGUGGGGAAUCAGGACUGUUACUUUGAAAAAAUUAGAGUGUUUAAAGCAGGCUCACGCUUGAAUACAUUAGCAUGGAAUAAUGAAAUAGGACGUUUGAUUCUAUUUUGUUGGUUUCUAGGAUCGACGUAAUGAUUAAUAGGGAUAGUUGGGGGCAUUAGUAUUCAAUUGUCAGAGGUGAAAUUCUUGGAUUUAUUGAAGACUAACUACUGCGAAAGCAUUUGCCAAGGAUGUUUUCAUUAAUCAAGAACGAAAGUUAGGGGAUCGAAGACGAUCAGAUACCGUCGUA
rnacentral:rRNA from 1 species